GACGAACGCUGGCGGCGUGCCUAAUACAUGCAAGUAGAACGCUGAAGAGAGGAGCUUGCUCUUCUUGGAUGAGUUGCGAACGGGUGAGUAACGCGUAGGUAACCUGCCUUGUAGCGGGGGAUAACUAUUGGAAACGAUAGCUAAUACCGCGUAACAAUGGAUGACACAUGUCAUUUAUUUGAAAGGGGCAAUUGUUCCACUACAAGAUGGACCUGCGUUGUAUUAGCUAGUAGGUGAGGUAAUGGCUCACCUAGGCGACGAUACAUAGCCGACCUGAGAGGGUGAUCGGCCACACUGGGACUGAGACACGGCCCAGACUCCUACGGGAGGCAGCAGUAGGGAAUCUUCGGCAAUGGGGGCAACCCUGACCGAGCAACGCCGCGUGAGUGAAGAAGGUUUUCGGAUCGUAAAGCUCUGUUGUAAGUCAAGAACGGGUGUGAGAGUGGAAAGUUCACACUGUGACGGUAGCUUACCAGAAAGGGACGGCUAACUACGUG
rnacentral:rRNA from 1 species